rnacentral:rRNA from 1 species
UCGAGGGGCAGCGGGGAGGAAGCUUGCUUUCUCCGCCGGCGACCGGCGCACGGGUGAGUAACACGUAUGCAACCUGCCCCUGUCAGGGGGACAACCCGCCGAAAGGCGGGCUAAACCCGCGUACAUGCCACCGGGGCAUCCCGGAGGCAGGAAAGGCUUCGGCCGGACAGGGAUGGGCAUGCGGCGCAUUAGGCAGUAGGCGGGGUAACGGCCCACCUAACCGACGAUGCGUAGGGGUUCUGAGAGGAAGGUCCCCCACACUGGUACUGAGACACGGACCAGACUCCUACGGGAGGCAGCAGUGAGAAAUAUUGGUCAAUGGUCGGGAGACUGAACCAGCCAAGCCGCGUGAGGGAGGAAGGUACAGAGUAUCGUAAACCUCUUUUGUCAGGGAACAAAGACUGGGACGCGUCCCCGGAUGAGUGUACCUGAAGAAAAAGCAUCGGCUAACUCCGUGCCAGCAGCCGCGGUAAUACGGAGGAUGCGAGCGUUAUCCGGAUUUAUUGGGUUUAAAGGGUGCGCAGGCGGUCUGUUAAGUCAGCGGUCAAAGCCCGGGGCUCAACCCCGGCCCGCCGUUGAAACUGGCAGUCUCGAGUUGGAGAGAAGUAUGCGGAAUGCGCGGUGUAGCGGUGAAAUGCAUAGAUAUCGCGCAGAACUCCGAUUGCGAAGGCAGCAUGCCGGCUCCACACUGACGCUGAGGCACGAAAGCGUGGGUAUCCAUUCAAGGUUAGAUACCCUGGUAGUCCACGCAGUAAA